CCCUCUCCUCACCCCCUUUCUGGCGAGGAACUGCAGCCCCGACCGCACGCGUUAGUCCCGCCGCCGGCUGCAGAUGCACCGUGCACCAUGCCAAGGCUCGCCCCCAUCACUCCAAGGUUGAGAGAACCGACGUCGCCGCCUCGACCGUCUCCUCUGCGCGCUGUGCACGCAGAUCUCCUUUUGCACGGGCGACGGCAAGCCGGGGAUCGGGGCCCCACUGCAUCUCCUCUCGUGAAUGUUCACGGCGUGGCCUGGAGGCGGCAAUAUUGCGAGCCCAACUGCCGGCGCUCAUGCGACCACCCGUUUUGACCCUGGGGACAGAUCCUUCUUUUCUCCGCUAUGGAAGCCAAAGACUUGUUCAGCUGUGGAGAUUAACGAUGACGAGUAUCUGAAAACAAACGUGGAAAGUACAUGGACAUGAGCAAUUCGUGAUGCCUUUCCAGGUGCUGCUGAAACCAGUAUAUAAUGUACACGAUUGCUGAUAUAAAUUGCCAUUUGUAUCUCUAUUUAUUACUCAUUAUCAAUUUUCGAAAUUUAUUUCUGUCAAUUAGUUUACUUAGAUUACUGAUUCUUUAAUUUAGAACUAAUUUCCUUCAGUUCAGAACUUCUCUUUUCUUUCAAGAGGAGAAAUGCUAUAAUUUAAAUACAUAGAUUCUGAAGAUGAGCGAAUAUCAGUACUGCAGUUAUCUCGAGGGAUCAAGGUCAUAUGCUGGUACUUCUGCAGUGGAUAUCGCCACUUCUGAUUUCUUAGUGAAUACUCUUCAUCAUAUUUCCAUCGGUUACGUGGUAUGCAGCUUGUUUUUGAGCUAAGAAGUUUGUGAGUAUUAUUUCUUGAAGCAUCAAUUUAAAGAUAAACUAAACCUGUCGGCUACCAUGAGAAUUCUCACUGUAUUCAUCGCGACCAGGUACGCCUCUCCUCUCGCUCCCCCUCUUCCCCUCCCUAUCCUUCAUCAAUGACUUUUCCCUUUCCUUCCUCAAUUCUGUAUUCUGCAGAAAUUCAAGAUGUGCUUGAUGGAUUUCUUACCUUUCCAAAAGGUCUCCUUGAACGCAAAGGCAGCUUACCCUGAGUUCUUUCUGCAUCGAACACAUGAGUUGGAAACUGACCGGUCAUAGAGUUCAUCAGCAGUAAUCUCUUAGUCUUCUAUUCUGUCAAGUAUUAAUGGUCAAAUGAAAUAAGGUGUGAGCUUUGUGUGUGUGCUUAUAUGCUAAGUUGCGGAUCCGGCAGACUAAUCUCUUAGUGCUCUUUAAGUUUCUAAAACUGCUUGUCCGUUUGGGUACUAAUGUUGGGCUCCAUUGGCAUAUACUGCCUUACAUGUACAAAACAGCCAAAGCAAGUUGCCUCCACAUGCAGCUCAUGCCUUCUACAGUUGUUCAAAAUCAUAUAGCUAUAGCCAUAUGUAGGUUUUUUCCAUGGCAGUUAACUGAAAAUUAUGGAUGUGGUUUUGAUCUCUGCAUGCUGCUAUUUCCCGUGUCUAGGCAAAAGAGAUAAGUGCAGAAGCAUAAGCUAGGAUGCAUGCGCUUUUUUUUUUUUGAUGUUGCUAUUGACAUGAAGGUAUUAUCAAGUUUUUGCAACAGUAGUCCAUUUAGAUCACCUUCCAGAACAUAGAACAAAAUACAGCAUGUUGUUUGCAACUUGUCAGGGGAAAUAUACAGAUUAAGUGAUUAACUUUUAACCUAUACCCUAUAUUGUUAACUUAACAUAAACAGCGUCACCUCUCAUCUAGGUCGGUUUUGGGGUAUGAACAGGGUGAGGUUUCAUAAUUAUGCGCUUAAUUCAGAUUUGUGUAUCUCUCAAGUUUGUGUUCAAAUAAAUGGAUAUUUAGAACCGCCCUAGGUGUCACGGUAUUGAGAUAAUUGAUUGCAUAGCAUGUAAGCAACUUUAUGUUUUCUACUAACCCAAAUAUUUAGAGUUAGAGCAGUAAUUUAGUAACUUGAUGUGGUGUGUGUGUUCGCUUGUGCUAAAGCAUCUCACAUCAUGCUGACUUUUUCUUAAUCUUUGCUUCAUAUGGUUCUCUUUUUGAAACUGCAAAGCCUACUCCGAAUAUGUAUUAAAGGUGGAAGAAUGUACUGGAUGGUCUAGGAAAAAUAAUCCAUACCUUAUCUCAUGUUGAUCUACUUUAGAGAAGGAAAACACACUUAGCUAGAAAUAUGCCCCUCUGUUCUGGUAGGAAAAUGUAAAAUGUUAUUUUCUCGGUUCCAUAAUUCUUGUCGUGGUUUUAGGUAAAAUUUGAACUACAACCACGACAAGAUUAUGUAACGGAGGGAGUAGAUGUUUUACACAGUAUUUGAGCAAGAUUUUUUUACAUAUAUCAUCAUUUUGUAUGUACCUAAAUCACUUUGAAUGGACAUAUGGAGAAGAGUGUUGGAUCUCUUCAUAAAUCAGAACCCGAGGAGUUCAAUUGUGUGGAGCUAUUGGCGAAGCUGGUUUCUCCGUUCUUGUUGCCAAAGGCUGCCCCGUCCUACAAUCCCAACUACUGCCACUUUAAUCUUACCAUGCCUGCCUCCCUAAUCAUUAGCUCAAGUGGCCCAUCUAUUCAUUGAUUUUCUUGGAUAUAUUUGGUAGAAUGGAGAUGUUUGCUUCAGUUCAUAGUGGCUUGAUUUUUGCGAAACAUGAUUGUUAAGAUGGCAAAUAUUCUGAUAUGCAUCUUCAAUUACAAAUGGUGAUCCAUACACCACUCUGAGAAAAGAUAUCUGAUGUUGAUGACAAGCAUCAACAAAAGGGCGGAGCAGAAGGGAUGGUAGGAUGACGACAAGCGGGCGAACUAUGUCACUGUGCAAUUAGAAAUCAACUAAAGCAUGUAUAUACUUUUUUUCCACGCACAAACACUUCGUAACUACCUAUAAGUGAAAUCUUCAAGCGAAUUGUAAUAUAAUUAUCUAUAAAAUAGUAUUAGUUUUUUUGUACAUGUGAUUGUUCAUGCAAAAGAGGAGUAAUCGUGGCAACGCACGGGCAUUCA